rnacentral:rRNA from 1 species
GUUGGACAUUAAAAACAAUCGUUCUAAAUCCAUAAAUUUUGGCGGUACUUUAAAAAAUCAGGGGAACUUGCAUAUUAAAUCGAUAAUCCACGAAAAUCUUACUUUUAAUUGAAACUCAGUUAGUGUACUGCCGUACUUAUAUAAAUUUAUAAUUAUAUAUAAUAGAAGAUAUUAAAUCUUUUAUAGCAGGUCAAAGUGCAGCUUAUAUAAAAGGUAUUUGGUGAGUUACAAUAUUAAUAAAUAUGGAUUAUAUUAAUAUUAAUAUAUGAAAAUGGACUUGAUAGUAAUUAAUUAAUAUAAUGAAUUAACUCUUAAAGUGUGU